rnacentral:rRNA from 1 species
GAUUUAUCGCUCUAGGAGGGUCUCGCGGCCUAUCAGCUAGUUGGUGAGGUAAUGGCUCACCUAGGCAUCGACGGGUAGCUGGUCUGAGAGGACGAUCAGCCACACUGGGACUGAGACACGGCCCAGACUCCUAUGGGAGGCAGCAGUAGGGAAUCUUGCGCAAUGGGCGAAAGCCUGACGCAGCAAUGCCGCGUGCGGGACGAAGGCCCUAGGGUCGUAAACCGCUUUCAGUAGGGACGAAAAUGACGGUACCUGCAGAAGAAGCUCCGGCCAACUACGUGCCAGCAGCCGCGGUGAUACGUAGGGAGCAAGCGUUGUCCGGAAUUACUGGGCGUAAAGGGCUCGUAGGUGGUUGAGUAAGUCAGAUGUGAAAUCUCAGGGCCCAACCCUGAGCCUGCAUUUGAUACUGCUCUGACUAGAGUCCGGUAGGGGAGUGCAGAACUCCUGGUGUAGCGGUGAAAUGCGCAGAUAUCAGGAAGAACACCGACAGCGAAGGCAGCACUCUGGGCCGGUACUGACACUGAGGAGCGAAAGCAUGGGUAGCAAACAGGAUUAGAUACCCUGGUAGUCCAUGCCGUAAACGUUGGGCACUAGGUGUGGGGAGAACUCAACUCUCUCCGCGCCGUAGCUAACGCAUUAAGUGCCCCGCCUGGGGAGUACGGCCGCAAGGCUAAAACUCAAAGGAAUUGACGGGGGCCCGCACAAGCGGCGGAGCAUGUUGCUUAAUUCGAGGCAACGCGAAGAACCUUACCUGGGUUGAACUACGUGGGAAAAGCCGCAGAGAUGCGGUGUCCUUCGGGGUCCACGAUAGGUGGUGCAUGGCUGUCGUCAGCUCGUGUCGUGAGAUGUUGGGUUAAGUCCCGCAACGAGCGCAACCCUUGUCCUAUGUUGCCAGCGGGUAAAGCCGGGGACUCGUAGGAGACUGCCGGGGUCAACUCGGAGGAAGGUGGGGACGACGUCAAGUCAUCAUGCCCCUUAUGUCCAGGGCUGCAAACAUGCUACAAUGGCCGGUACAAAGGGCAGCUAAACCGCGAGGUCAAGCGAAUCCCAAAAAGCCGGUCUCAGUUCGGAUUGAAGUCUGCAACUCGACUUCAUGAAGCUGGAGUCGCUAGUAAUCCCGGAUCAGCAACGCCGGGGUGAAUACGUUCCCGGGCCUUGUACACACCGCCCGUCACACGCCGAAAGUCGAUAACACCCGAAGUCAGUGGCCCAACCC